GACGAACGCUGGCGGCGUGCCUAAUACAUGCAAGUAGAACGCUGAAGGAGGAGCUUGCUUCUCUGGAUGAGUUGCGAACGGGUGAGUAACGCGUAGGUAACCUGCCUGGUAGCGGGGGAUAACUAUUGGAAACGAUAGCUAAUACCGCAUAAGAGUAGAUGUUGCAUGACAUUUGCUUAAAAGGUGCAAUUGCAUCACUACCAGAUGGACCUGCGUUGUAGUAGCUAGUUGGUGGGGGAACGGCUCACCAAGGCGACGGUACAUAGCCGACCUCAGAGGGUGCUCGGCCACACUGGGACUGAGACACGGCCCAGACUCCUCCGGGAGGCAGCAGUAGGGAAUCUUCGGCAAUGGACGGAAGUCUGACCGAGCAACGCCGCGUGAGUGAAGAAGGUUUUCGGAUCGUAAAGCUCUGUUGUAAGAGAAGAACGAGUGUGAGAGUGGAAAGUUCACACUGUGACGGUAUCUUACCAGAAAGGGACGGCUAACUACGUG
rnacentral:rRNA from 1 species